GGGUAUAUAGCUCAGUGGUAGAGUGCAUGCCUGGCAUACACAAGGUCUUGGGUUCAAUCCCUGGUACCUCCU
rnacentral:tRNA from 1 species